rnacentral:rRNA from 1 species
UACAGAGGUCCCAAGCGUUACUGAGAAUCACUGGGUUUAAAGGGUGCGUAGGUGGUCCGUUAAGUCAGUUGUGAAAUCCCCGGGCUCAACUCGGGAACUGCUUCUGAUACUGGCGGACUUGAGGCCAGUAGGGGUCACUAGAACUGACGGUGGAGCGGUGAAAUGCGUAGAUAUCGUCAGGAAUGCCGGUGGUGAAGACGGGUGACUGGGCUGGUUC